CGGAUUUACAUAAUUUGAAUAACGAAGAAAUUAAUGAGACGAGUCGGUGCUGACACGAAGCACCAGGAUUUAAAAGGGGCUGAUUUAGCGAGCUGAAUGUACGGAAGCCAUUUUUAAGGAUUAGGAUAGAAAUAGCAUUUGUCACAUGCCCUCGGCUGAUCUCUUUAGUCACAAUCACUUACAAGAGAGUAGAACGAAUCAUUGUAUGCAUUGACAAAAAGCCCCAGCGGCUUAUGAGCCAGCGAGUGCCCGACUUGUUGUUGAAAUGAAAUUUAUUCUAGCUGCUUUUCCUUUCGCUUUCUGGUACCUUAACAUCAUAUGUCAAAGGCAAAAACGAGCUUAUUGUUAGAAAGGAAACAUUAUUUUGGCAGAAGUUGAGUGCUGGACUUUGAUAUGGUGGGAUAGCAACAAAAUGUAGAUAAGGACGAUCCGUCCGUUCAGUUCAUGCAUUAAACGACGACUGGUACCUACUCUAAAAUCGGACUAAAUCGCUAUAUUUUCCGUUGUCUAGCCCAAUAAUAGACAGCGUAAUUUUUAAAAUGUGUUUUCAUUGAUCGUCAGCUGAAGCUAUCAUUAAGACUUCACUCACUGAAAUGCUGUCCAUUAAUAUGAUCACGGAUGUCUAUUUAUGAUACAGGAACGCCUUUCCCUGUUGCUUCAACUGAAGAACUAGAUGUAAAUAGGUCUACGAUCUAAGAAACGAAUAUUCGAAGCUUGCGACUAUUUCGUGAUAGUUUAUUUCACUCGGUGAAUUCAAGGAAACAGCAAAUAGUGAUGGGAAUCUGCUUGUUGUGAUAGGAGAAUCGCAGUGAUACGAACGGCGCAUAGUUGGUAUUAUCGGCUCUGCGCUUUUGUUGGGUGCAUCAGAACGGCACCGUCCGCAUCGGGUAGACAUCGAGAAAAACGACCUAAGCCGAAAACAACUGUCAACUGGUGGUCAAUGGUAGCAUGUGUCGGUCUGCGCGAAUUGCUUUAGACGGUUGGCUUCGAACAUAAAGCAAAAGGCAAAACCAUUCGCGACAGAGGCGAGCAAGGUUCUUGAACGGUUGGCCAUAACACCACGAUGAUGGAUGAAAACACUCCUGGCACUC